GUGUCUGCAGUUUUUGCAUUUCACUUUUCUUUGCAGCAACCUUUUCUUUUGCAACCAUGUUAUCAACUUGAAUGAUGUUUUUUUUGUCUCCUUGACAUUCACUUUUCUCAAAAGUGUUCCCACAAGCGAAGCCAUAGCACCGGUGGGCAGAGGAAAUAACUGAUGUUACUGGCCCUGAUUUGAAAAUCUGGCGCACUUUUCUGUUAUUAGUUCAAUAUGUGGAGGUACGCUUGAUUUUUACAUCUAAACACCUCCCACCGCAAAGGUUGGGCUGAUUCCCUGGUUGAUGCCUGACUCAAUCAUAAUAAUCAAGCGCUUCUACCGUCCGAUUGGCUAAGCCGCACCGCCAACUCUGUGCCGUUGAAAGAAGCUAAUAGUCCGCGCAAAAUUAAUUGGAUCUUGUCGCUAUGGUAAGUAUCAACCCUCUCUCAACAGUUAUUGUUUUAUUUCGAAAGCAGGCGCCAUUACUUGUAUGUGUGAACCACUUAUGUUAGGCCUACCUUUUGUUUCAGUACCAGCAUAUGAUUUUCCAUCAGUUAAGUUCGGCGUCGCCUGGAAAUAUGAUGGAAAGGCCUGAGCGCUCUACCCGGGCAAAAGGACAGCGGGGGAAUGAAGGAGAAAGCUCCGAUAUGCCUACUGCUGUUAGUAAUAUCGAAAAUAUUCAACCACACAAAGUGCAAUGGAAGAAAAGGUCGGAAGAGCUGCAGUCCCGAAUCAAUGAGCUGGAGGAGGAGAAUUCUUUGCUCAAGCAGCAGCUUGAGCAAAGGCCUUCAGCAAAUCAAGGUGAGAAAAUGGACAACACUGCCACCGACCCAGAGUCAGACACUGACUCGAGUUCCAACUCCAGCACUGACUCCACCGAUUCCAGGAGCAGUGAUACAAGCUCUUCCUCCUCUGAUGGCCGCAAGAAAAGAGGAAGCACAAAAAGAAAAACAAAAAGAAGAGCAAAAAGGCUUCAAAGAACAAAGGUCUUCGAGUGACAACAAUAUCGGAUGUUGUUAAAAGGUACCGCCGGGUCCUUAAACUAAUUCAAAAAGGACGCAAGAUGUCGAGGGCAUUCCUGAAGGCACGUGUUUCUAGAAACGCAGUUAAAGACACCGCAGCAAUCGCGGAGCUCUACAUUGCAGAGAGGAGUGUCCUGGAUGGAAUCAAAGGCGAACAGAGGCUCCUUUAGCAAAGCUCUGCCAGUCCAAAAUUGUUGGAGAACUUGCCCUUAAAAUUGAAGAGCUGAAGAGGAAAAAAAAACUCAUACCAUUCUCCAAAAAGGGUUAAAGGGACAGGGGUGAAAGGAGAGAGUUUUUUUUAAU
ensembl:lncRNA